CUAAGAAUCUUCCGCAAUGGGGGAAACCCUGACGGAGCGACGCCGCGUGGACGAAGAAGGCCGCAAGGUUGUAAAGUCCUUUUGCAGGCGAAGAAUAAGGCGAAGAGUGGAAAGCUUGGUCGAUGACGUUAGCCUGCGAAUAAGCCCCGGCCAAUUACGUGCCAGCAGCCGCGGUAACACGUAUGGGGCAAGCGUUGUUCGGAAUUACUGGGCGUAAAGGGCGUGUAGGCGGUUUCGUAAGCCUGGCGUGAAAGUCAUCGGCCCAACCGAUGGACGGCGCUGGGAACUGCGGGACUGGAGUUUUGGAGGGGGAGCUGGAAUUCCAGGUGUAGGGGUGAAAUCUGUAGAGAUCUGGAAGAACACCGGAGGCGAAGGCGAGCUCCUGGCCAAUGACUGACGCUGAGGCGCGAAAGCGUGGGGAGCAAACAGG
rnacentral:rRNA from 1 species